GUAAACGGCGGCCGUAACAAUAACGGUCCUAAGGUAGCGAAAUUCCUUGUCGGGUAAGUUCCGACCUGCACGAAUGGCGUAAUGAUGGCCACGCUGUCUCCACCCAAGACUCAGUGAAAUUGAAAUCGCUGUUAAGAUGCAGUGUACCCGCGGCUAGACGGAAAGACCCCGUGAACCUUUACUAUAGCUUCACAGUGGACUUUGACUUUAUUUGUGUAGGAUAGGUGGGAGACUUUGAAGCGUUGUCGCUAGACGGCGUGGAGUCAACCUUGAAAUACCACCCUGAUAAAGUUGAGGUUCUAACUUAGCUCCUGAAACGGGAGUGAGGACAUUGUGUGGUGGGUAGUUUGACUGGGGCGGUCUCCUCCCAAA
rnacentral:rRNA from 1 species